rnacentral:RNase_P_RNA from 1 species
AAGCCGUGUCGGAUGACCGCGGGCAGCUUGGUUCUGUCUGAGGAAAGUCCGGACUCCGCAGGACGCCGUAGCAGGUAACACCUGUCCGCCGCAAGGCGCGGAUUAGAGCAACAGAGACGAGCCGGUUCGGUCCGGGUGAAACGGGCAAUCUCUACGGGGAGCAACAUCAAAUAAGCAGCCGCUUGAUCCCGGUCCGGGAGAUGGCUGCGGGUAGAUGGCUUGAAGCGCGGUGUGAACUUCGCUCUAGAUGAAUGGUCGUCACCGUGCCGCUUGCGCGGCGCGGAACAUAAUCCGGCUUAUAGGUGCGACUUGCGU